rnacentral:rRNA from 1 species
CAGCCGCCGCGGUAAUACGAAGGGGGCUAGCGUUGUUCGGAAUUACUGGGCGUAAAGGGCGCGUAGGCGGCCAUUCAAGUUAGAUGUGAAAGCCCUGGGCUCAACCUAGGAAUUGCAUUUGUGACUGGCAAGCUAGAGUAUGGCAGAGGGGGGUGGAAUUCCGCGUGUAGCAGUGAAAUGCGUAGAUAUGCGGAGGAACACCGAUGGCGAAGGCAGCCCCCUGGGCCAAUACUGACGCUCAUGCACGAAAGCGUGGGGAGCAAACAGGAUUAGAUACCCGCGUAGUCCCUGUCUCUUAUAC